AUAGGCUGAUAGCAACAUCCUUAAGUAGGGAAUUACCAGUUUCUCAAGAUUGUGGCCGCUGAGGCAAGCAUGCAUCACAAAGAACACUGCUGAGAUAUCGGAGAAGGACAGCUACAAGAACUGGAACAUUUGCCUUAAAAAUGAUGAUCUCCCUGGCAAAAUAAAUUACGUCUUGGAAUUAUGUCAAGACUUUUAACUGAAGAAAGAGUUUCAAAACAAUCUUUGUGCAAAAUGAAGCUCACUUUCUCCUUUUAAUUCAUCGUUCUGCCUGCUAAUUCUCUGGGUGUUUCUGUCUGUAAGUCAAGCAUAUGCUCUUUCUCUUGCUCUCUGGAAGGGUUCCAAAGGUUGGGGGGAAGUCUUCCAGGAAACCUUUCCAAAACAUAUUUAGGGCUUGUUCUUCCUGUGCAGAUAAAACCCUCAGAUGUGUAUUAAUACAGUCUAACUGAAGCUGGAAAAUACAAUAUUUGGUUUGGGGCAUUUUUUUUUUAAUUAAAAGAUAGAGACUUAUUGCUAUUUUUCCUGUUAGAAUUUGCAUCAAGAGGUUUAGUUCUUUGUUAUUUCAUUGUUUCUUUCAGUGAGUUCCAGAUGUGCGAAUCAUUUGAGAUUUAUCUUAGUAUAAAUGUUUAUUUGAUCAAAUAAUUUUGUUGCAUUCUGAGACAUCCUUAUCAGAUUAGCAGAUGGAAAUGAAUGUAGUCUCUACCUUUCAUGACGGCAUUCUAUAUGGCUGUGUUUUGAAAACUUCUGUCUUCUCAGAGUUACAAAAAUAAUCCAGAAUAAAUGAUCUAUACAAAAAAGAAAGAUACAGCUUUGUUGGUUUUUGUUUUUUUUUUUUUUUCCUAAAUAUAGUUUCAGAUUUUCCGGGUGUCCUGGAGUCUAAUUGUAUGUUUUAUUAAUCUAAUUUUGUUAUUACGUGAUGCCCAUGUAAACUGAAUCCAUUCUUAGAAUCCUGUCUGUUCACAGAUUUAGGAUUUUGUACAAGAAGCUGAUUUUGCAACGUAUGAAGUGAUGGCUCUAAUAUAACUUUAAAUUUCUUUCCGCUCUGUAUUUCUUUCCCCAGGGAGCAUGCAUCAAAAUUUUGACCUUUUGUUAUUUACACCCUUGAUGAUAUGGUUUGAUGAAAAUGAUAUUGUUUUCAUUGAUCCCCUGGAAAACUCAGUCCUUCAAGUUUAACAAGUAUUUCUUUUGGGGCAGCAAGGAGUAAAAAUGAACAAAAGCAGCCAAGCAACGGUAUGCCAGCAGUACAUGUGCUGGUAUUAUACAAUAUUCCCAGCAGUAUUUGAAGUAUGUUAUUAAGAGCAACUGCUGAGUUACUGUCUAAUUUAGUGUAAUUUUGCUAGUAGCUUGGUUUUACAUAUGCUUUCAUUAUUGUUUUACAUUUCUUUUUUUUAUAAGCUUCAUUGCAUUAUGGUUUAACAGGAGAGAAACAGAGGUAGGCAAUUAUCAGUGUUAAGACCUGACUAAUAAAGCUUACUGACUUCUUACAUCAAGUCUUUAGUGCUAUUUUGUCACAUUUUAGGAAAUAUUCAGAUCUUUUAUAUUGUGUUAUAUUAAUGAAAUAAACGUAGAAAUUAAUAUUAUCAAGACAGAUAGUAGAUGCUAGUCCAGAGGGAUCUACAGAUGCCUUAAGGGAUGCUGAUGGCAUGGCUAGCAUCACGUGUUUGUUCAAAAUAGGAUUUAAAAAUAUCUGUGUUAUCUUAGCCAAAAAUGGAUGCAAAGGAAGAAUGGUGAGUAAUUCAAGGUAUGUGUGUCUGCUUCUUUUCUUCUCCCCACAGUCUUGUUACUUGCUGACUUCCACAGAAGAUAAAUAUUAGUUUUUCUGCUCUUUAGUUACAAUCCUGGGAAAAAAAAAAAAAAGCAAUGCUUAAAUCAGUGAAAUUAAAGUCAGUAUUCCCAAGGAAGGUGACUAUUAACUUUUUCCAGCUUUCGUAGGGAUUAUUCCAUCUUCUUAUGCUAUGAGUCUAAAUAAAUUACUGUAUUAAAACGUAUUUUUACUCAGGUAUGUAGCCCAUGGCGUACCAAGGUUUUUUUCAUAUUUAUAGCUGGGGAUUGAACUGGAUUCAGAAAGUCCAGGGGAGCACAGGAAGUAGGAAACUCAUCAGUUCUGUUGCCUUUGUAUGAUACAUUCCAUCUGAAAGUG
ensembl:lncRNA